rnacentral:lncRNA from 1 species
GGCUGCACCUAAUAACCUUAGGCUACCUACGUACCCUCCUUGAGGGAUCAAGCCACACGUAGUUCUUCCUUAAAACCCAAUUCCACACUUAGGCGAUACCUUAUUUCAUUUAUCUGUAUUUCAUAUAAUCUCCCCAUAUGCCGGUACAACCAACGCCACGUAUGGGGCCUGUCAACACGCCGGAUAACCUAUGCCACGUGCGACUAUGCCAUACUAUCAUAAUAUCUCCCCAUACGCCGGUACAACCAACGCCACGUAUGGGGUCUGUCUCAACGCUGGAUAACCUACGCCACGCGAGACCUGCACAUCAUAUCACAUAUCUCCCCAUAGGCCGGUACAACCAACGCCACGUAUGGGGUCUGUUGACAUGCCGGAUAACCUACGCCACGUGCGACCUCAACACAAUAUCAUAUAAUCUCCCCAUACGCCGGUACAACCAACGCCACGUAUGGGGCCUGUCUCAACGCCGGAUAACCUACGCCACGUGAGACCUGAACAUCAUAUUACAAUCCUCCCCAUACGCCGGUACAACCAACGCCACGUAUGGGGCCUGUCCACAUGCCGGAUAACCUACGCCACGUGGGACCUAACUUUCACUUGGUGGUACUUGUAGUGAAACCAAAAUCCGGGGAGGUACCUAAGGUAGUGCGUAUAGCACUCCAAACUAACAUUCUAGACUCUUUUGUACCCUUGUACAAACAUAUUAUACUGAUAAUUAUAUAUAAUAAUUCUAAUAUUGUGUAACCCUCCACAAUAGUCUAGUACCCGAUAAUCUCCCCUAGAAAGGUGAGAUUACUCCGGGAGACUCACGGUCAACCAAGGGUCAAACUUCUCUAACCUAGGUCAAACGGGCCUGCGGAACCCACGACCUCCAAUUUCUGAUCCGAAAGUCCCUAUAGGUUCUACCAGGUAUAGGACACUUGUCCUACAAGUUUGGUUCAGAUCGGACGGUCGGAUUGCUCACGAUCGCACGAUCUGACAAUUAAUAUAAAAUAUAAACUUUAAAAUUAUUAUUCGGAACAUCCGGGGCUCCGAUUCACCAUCCGUGAAUUCCUACACGAUCCUAGAAUUACCUAGAUUAACGUAUAUUAAAUUUGGGACCAUCCAACGGUCCCAACCUAUCGAACCCGGAUAACGCGCAAUAUGCGAAUAUCCGUUCGAUAGUCAAACGAUGUCCGAAUUGAGAUCCGCGAAAUCCUACGCACUCGUGACAACCUAAGGAUCUCAUCGAGAUAUAGUGCCACUUUUUCUACAGUGCCCACGCGCCGCCGCACGCGCCGGCAGUGCGUGGGUGCCCAUAGCGAUAACGCUUCGCCGGAAAAUCUCAAAACCACGAUUCCAAACUCCUACCCUAGGUAUAACACCCUAUUUGGAGCCACUUUUGUUCUUGGACCUACCCCAAAAAGUGACCGAAAAUGGCCGAUCACGGCGGCCGAAGUUUGGCCGAUUUUCAAUUCGAAAAUCGAGUUGGCUACGCUAAGAAUCGAUCCAAUCCUACCAACAGUCAGCUAGAACAGCUCGAGAGGUUCAAGAUCCAUACCUGGGUCGACGGAAAUGGUGGCCGGAGGAGGGAGAUCGACGGCGUUGAAGUUUCGAUGACCUCCCGGCGGUUUUCUGCAUUUUUCGGCCAGCACAGGCCGCGUCGCCAGCAGGGAACGGUCGGGGAAGGAAGGGGGGACGACGGCGGUUCGAACGCCACCGGUCCCGUGGCCGUUGGUGCCCUGUGGCGGUGCCGGCGCCUCUUGGAAGGCGAAGGCCGCUGGAACGAGAGAGAGGAGAGAGAGAGAUCGCGCGGGAGAGAGAGAGAGAGAGAGAGAGUGAGAGAGAGAGAGAGAGAGGGAAAAAUCUGAGUUUUAUAAAAAAAAUCCCAUUUCGAAAUAUUUACGAUUAUGCCACUGGGCUUUUUUUGACCAUAUCUCUCUCGUUACAACUCUGAUUCGAGCCCACUACGUGUCUAUGAACUCGUCUCAGUACGACCUAUCCAAAAAUACUAGUCACUGCCCCAAACUCUCUUCCGUUAAAAAUAUGACCAAAAUGCCCUUAAAUAAUUAAAUAAUUAAAUAAGGGUUAAAUUUGGGGUUGGGGUGUUACAUUAGUGCUUGGGUUAGAGGAGUAGGUAAAAUUAGCUGAAGAUGUUAUCUUGGUGUUCCCACAGCCUGUCACUGUGGACUCCUUUUAUGCUGACGAAAACUCUGAUUAUAUGGGGAGAAAAUGCCUACCGAGACUCAAGACCAAGAGUGGACCGUGGUGGCUAACCGCAAAGGUAAAGCUAAGAUGCAAGUUAGGAUGUACGAGAGAGAUGGGAGAACUUUUAGAGAAGUUGCUGAGGGGAUUAAGUUUACUGAAGAAGGUGGCUCUCUUGCUGCUGGGGCUAAGGGUCAGGGCUCGAGUCUGAGUAGCAAAGGGCAUGGUAAAGCUGUCAUGACAGCUUCUGCUCAAUCUCAAGAAGGCAGCAGCGCCUUUACUGCGUUUGCUUACAAAAGCCCUAAGAAAAGGGCUUGUGAUGAUGAUGUUGUGAAGGAAGACUCCUUGCCUAGUUUUGGAAUCAAUGGAGAAUCUCUGAGGGAGGCUGAUACCUCUGUUCGUACCUCUCCUAAUCCUAUCCCAUGAAGAUGAUGUCUUGGAACAGCCGAGGCAGUGCCUGGCCAGGAUUUAUCUUUCAAGUUUUGUUUUAUAUUAGUACGUUUAGCUUAAAUGUCUGCUGUAUUUUGGAUUCCAGAGCCUCUGGGGUCCGUGCUGAGGCUAUUGCCCAGAGGCUUGGUUUUGCUGGUUCAUUUUGUAUCCCUGCCUUAGGUUAGUGUGGGGGGAUUAUCUUACUUUGGAAUCUUUCUUCUAUUAAUAUAUCUAUUUUAGAGUAUCAUGAACGUUUUAUAUGUGAGAAAUUUAAUAUUAUAUUUAAUAUUAAUUUUCUAUUUGAAUGGAAAUUAAUAAAAUCCAUUGGGUUAAAGACAUGACCCUUGGUAAAGAUAUCUUCAAUUGGGGGGUGACAACUCUUCAAACUAAGGGAUACAUUGUUUGGGGUGACAACUCUUCAAGACCACAGGAUGCACUGUUUGCCUUUUCAGAUUGGGAUACCUUUUUGGAAAGGGUAUUUCAUCAUCUAUAAAUAGAGCAAUCCUCCUACAGUUUUAUUCAUUCAAUUAAUUCUCUAGAUACAUACUUUCAUAUAUAGAGAGCAUUAGAGUUUGCAUAAAGAGAGUUUCCUGCAUAAUUUUGGUUCAAAGUUCCUUGUGAAUUGCAGUGCUUCUUUCAUGAGGAGGGGAGUCGUUGUAUCCUGGGAGGCGAACGCUAGUGAACCAUAAGCACCAGUGUGGGGCGUAAUUCGUCUUAAGGUCAGAGUGUCCAACACUUGCCUCGACUCAAUUAAGGUUCUUUUAAUUACAUACUACUGUUGUAAAAAUUUAUUUUGUUUGUAGUGUUUAUUUGUUUAUUUUAUAGCAAUUUAGCACUUUUAUUUCCUACAAUCUUAAGACGAAUUAUCUGUGUUAAUUGCUAUAUACAUUAAUCUGUUUUGUGCAUUUAAUUGUUAACGCUGCAAAUAUAUGGUAUCCCAAUCUGAAAAGGCAAACAGUGCAUCCUUUGGUCUUGAAGAGUUGUCACCCAAACAAUGUAUCCCUUAGUUUGAAGAGUUGUCACCCCCCAAUUGAAGAUGUCUUUACCCAAGGGUCAUGUCUUUAACCCAAUAGAUUUUAUUAAUUUCCAUUCAAAUAGAAAAUUAAUAUUAAAUAUAAUAUUAAAUUUCUCACAAUCCCCCACAUGAAUGGAAAUUAGUUUCAACAAUAUGCAAAUGAUAAUGCAGACUUAGAGAGAGUUCCUAUUAGAAGAAUAUGACAUCUGGAUAGGUAGCUUUUAGCUUUGAACCUUCCAUAGUGAAGUACUAUCGGAUUUACUUGGCUAAUCAGUGAACGUGAUGUCUUGAACUGUUCAGCCGUUUGUGUAAACCCAGACAAUAAUACUCACUCAAUACCCUUCUAGACAUAUCUGGUUCGAUCGGUUGUGCCCGUUUUGGCCCUGAGCAACUCCUGGCAUUCAUAAGUGCUUUAGAGAAUUUAGCCCUAAAAAUUCUCAUGGAAACGGCCCUAUUUCACACUUAUAUAGGUGAUUUCCUAUUGGUAAUAUCCUCUCAUAUCUUACUCGGAUAAUCAAGGUAUAGGAAUCAUUAAAAGCAUAGCUUAACCUAAACACAUUUCAUACAACACUGUAUCAUCAUAGGAUAUGGGUAGGAGAAUAUAUCUCUGUAGUGUUAUUUUUGAGUUAUCAUAAUUUAGUUGUCCCUUUUGAACCUAGAUCUUGGGAUCUCCAGUCAACUAGGUUGGGUUUCCACUAUGACUACUCAUUUGACAUGGGCUUUAACCCCAUUCCCCUCGAUGAUCUAUAAACUUGUUCUCCAUUCAAACCUUUAGUAAAUGGAUCCGCCAAAUUAUCUCUUGACUUUAUGUAGUCAAUGGUAAUUAUACCACUGGAGAGCAGUUGCUUAACGGUGUUGUGUCUUCGACGUAUAUAUCGAGACUUGCCGUUGUACAUAUUGUUUUGUGCCCUUGCAAUUGUAGAUUGACUAUCACAAUGUAUACAUAUAGCAGGCACAGGUUUUGGCCAACAUGGAAUAUCUUCUAAGAAAUUAUGUAGCCAUUCAGCUUCCUCACCAGCUUUAUCUAAUGCUAUGAACUCAGAUUCCAUAGUAGAUCUAGCUAUAAUAGUUUGCUUAGUAGAUCUCCAUGAUAUAGUCGCACCUCCAAUUGUAAAGACAUAUCCACUUGUAGAAUUGGAGUCUUUAGUAUCAGAUAUCCAAUUAGCAUCACUAUAUCCUUCAAGUACAGCUGGAUAUCUUGUAUAAUGCAAUCCAACAUUUUUGGUGUAUCUUAAGUAUCUUAGAACUCUGACUAUAGCUUUCCAAUGAUCCCUUCAAGGAUUACUAGUGUAUCUGCUUAAUCUAUUAACAGAGUAAGCUAUAUCAGGCCUUGUGCAAUUCGUAAGAUACAUGAGACUACCAAUAAUACGAGCAUAUUCUAUUUGUGAUACACCAUGACCUAUAUUCUUCACAAGAUUAAGACUUGGAUCAUAAGGAAUUCUUACUGGACUAGUAUCAUACUUGCUAAACUUCGCAAGUAUUUUCUCAAUAUAAUGUGAUUGGGAUAAAACUAGUCCAUCAGAUGUUCUAGAAAUUUUAAUUCCUAGAAUCACAUCUGCUACUCCCAAAUCUUUCAUGUCAAAAUUUUUGGUCAACAUUUUCUUGGUAGAUUUAAUCAUCCCAAUAUUGCUACCAAUAAUUAACAUAUCAUCAACAUAAAGACAAAUAAUGACAAAACCAUCUUGAGUGCUUUUCAUAUAAACACAUUUAUCACACUCAUUGAUCUUGAAACCAUUUGACAUUAAUGCAUUGUCAAAUUUCAGAUGCCAUUGUUUUGGUGCUUGCUUUAACCCGUACAAGGACUUAACAAGCUUACAUACUUUCUUUUCUUGUCCAGGAACAAUAAACCCUUCAGGUUGUUCCAUAUAAAUUUCCUCAUCUAAAUCACCAUUUAAAAAGGCCGUUUUCACAUCCAUUUGAUGUAUCUCAAGAUUAUGCAAUGCUGCAAUUGCAAUUAACAUUCUUAUUGAUGUUAUUCUCGUAACUGGUGAAUAUGUGUCAAAAUAAUCCAAUCCUUCUUUUUGUUUAUAACCUUUGACAACAAGCCUUGCCUUAUAUUUGUCAAUUGAUCCAUCAGCUUUCAUCUUUUUCUUAAAAAUCCAUUUAUAACCCAAUGGUUUAUUUCCAGGAGGAAGAUCCACAAGUUCCCAAGUGUGAUUCUGCAUGAUGGAUUCAACUUCGGCAUUAAUAGCCUCUUUCCAUAAAAGAGCUUCAGGAGAAGUCAUGGCUUCUUUGUAAGUUUGAGGCUCAUUUUCUAACAAAUAAGUUAGAAACUCAGGACCAAAAGAUUUGGUUGUCUUAGCUCUCUUACUACGCCUGGGUUCAUGUCCAGGUUCUGGUUCUGCAGUCUCUUGGUCUAUAUUUUCUUGAUGACUUUCUUGGUUAUCGCUAUUAACAGUAUCUAAGGUUCUUUUAAGUGUAUUUCUUUCUUGUGCAUCCUUAUAAGGAAAUACAUUUUCAAAGAAAGAUACAUUUCUUGAUUCAAUAAUCUUAUUCACAUGUACAUCUAAUAUAUCAGAUUUGUGUACAAGGAAACGAUAUGCACUAUUGUUAAUGGCAUAACCGAUAAAUAUACAGUCAAUAGUUUUGGGUCCUAUCUUAACCUUUUUAGGGGUUGGAACCGCAACUUUAGCUAGACACCCCCACACUUUCAAGUAUUUAUAGGAAGGCUUGUGACCUUUCCAUAACUCAUAAGGUGUUUUGUCUAACUUUUUAUGAGGCAAUUUGUUGAGAAUGUAAUUAGCAGAAAGUAAAGCUUCCCCCCACAAAUUCUGGGGUACUCCAGAACUUACUAGCAACGCAUUCAUCAUUUCUUUUAAAGUACGAUUUUUGCGUUCAGCAAUACCAUUUUGCUGAGGUGAGUAUGGGGCAGUAGUUUGGUGAAUAAUUCCGUGUUGGGAACAAAACUCACCAAAAGGUGAUUCAUAUUCACCACCUCUAUCACUUCUUAAUAUCUUUAUUUUCCUACUAAGUUGAUUCUCAACUUCACUUUUAUAAUGUUUGAACAUUUCUAUUGCCUCAUCUUUGCUUCUUAGCAAAUAUAUUUGACUAUAUCUUGUACAAUCAUCAAUAAAAGUAAUAAAGUACUUUUUACCAUCUCUAGUUUGUACAAAUUUCAAGUCACAAAUAUCACUGUGAAUUAAUUCUAGAGGUUCUGUACUUCUUUCUAUAGACUGGAAUGAUGAUCUAGUUAGUUUUGCUUCAACACAGGUUUCACAUUUAUUAUGGAAAUCAAUAUGAAACUUAGGUAUUAGUUCCAUGUUAAUUAAUUGACGCAAUUUGUCAUAAUUAACAUGCCCUAAUCUUCCAUGCCACAAAUCAGAUAACUCAAGCAUAUAAGCAGAACUAACUUUAUUAUUAUUAACUUUGUGUACAACAGUCAUUACAUUCAUCUUGAAGAGUCCAUCAGUAAGGUACCCUUUCCCCACAUACAUUCCAUUCUUUGUAAGUACAAACUUAUCAGACUCAAAGACUAGUUUGAACCCAUUCUUGCUAAGCAGUGAUCCAGAAACCAAGUUCUUCCGGAUCUCAGGGACGUGAAGUACAUUAUUGAGAGUGACUUCCUUUCCAGAUGUCAUCUUUAGAACUAUUUUUCCUUGGCCAUGAAUUUUGGAGGUGGAGGAGUUUCCCAUGAAUAAAGGCUCUCCUUGAUCAUUUGCUGCAUAGGUAGAAAACAUCUUCCUUUCAGAACAUAUGUGGCAUGUAGCUCCAGUAUCCACCCACCAUUCCUUGGUGUUGCCCACCAAGUUCACUUCAGACACAACUGCAGAAAGAUUAAUAUCUGACAAGUCAGUUGAAAGCUUGUCUUCUUCAGUCAUGUGUGCCUCAGUCUUGCCCUUUUUCUUUUGGUUGCCUUGUCCAUUUCUACUUCGGCAAUCCACAGCUCGAUGGCCUUGCUUGUUGCAAUUGAAACACUUUUUGGGGGGUGACAACUCUUCAAACUAAGGGAUACAUUGUUUUGGGUGACAACUCUUCAAGACCAAAGGAUGCACUGUUUGCCUUUUCAGAUUGGGAUACCUUUUUAGAAGGGGUAUUUCAUCAUCUAUAAAUAGAGCAAUCCUCCUGCAGUUUUAUUCAUUCAAUUAAUUCUCUAGAUACAUACUUUCAUAUAUAGAGAGCAUUAGAGUUUGCAUAAAGAGAGUUUCCUGCAUAAUUUUGGUUCAAAGUUCCUUGUGAAUUGCAGUGCUUCUUUCAUAAGGAGGGGAGUCGUUGUAUCCUGGGAGGCGAACGCUAGUGAACCAUAAGCACCAGUGUGGGGCGUAAUUCGUCUUAAGGUCAGAGUGUCCAACACUUGCCUCGACUCAAUUAAGGUUCUUUUAAUUACAUACUACUGUUGUAAAAAUUUGUUUUGUUUGUAGUGUUUAUUUGUUUAUUUUAUAGCAAUUUAGCACUAUUAUUUCCUACAUUAUACACUGCCAUCUGCAUGAUAUUAUUGAAAAUAAACAUUGGAAAGCUACUUUUAUCUAUGCCUAUCCACAAAAACAUAAACAAAAACAACUUUGGAAAGAUAUUCUUGACCUUAAACCUGGGAGGUCUGAUGCAUGGUUGCUUAUGGGUGAUUUUAACAACAUUUGCACCUCUAGUAAGAAAAUAGGUGGUUCUGCCAUUGCCCCUGCUGUUUUGGCUGAAUUCAAUGAUUUUAUAAAUCUUUGUGAAGUUAUAUCCCUUAGCGCUAUUGGCAUUCCUUUUACUUGGUGAAAUGGUCAUAAAGAUGCCACUGUUAUUUAUGCACUAGAAGAAAAAAGUCAUUUAACAACGCACAUUGUGCGUUGUGAAAACGUAUUGACAACACACGGCGCACGUUGUUGAAGCCGAUGUCGUUAAAAGCUCCAUGGCUUUCAAUGACGCGCUUUGCAUGUUGUCCUUGAUUUGAUCGCAUGUUGUAAACACCAGUAAUGGCAACGUGCGCAUGUUGUGAAAGUAUAGAACAACAACGUGUUCUGCGUGUUGUUGUAUGUCUAAUUGACAACAUUCAUGCUCGUGGUGUUGUUUUUACAUUUCAACAACACUCUUUAAGGACCCGCCCCGAAUUUUCUCAAAAUUCGAGACGAACCCUUUGGAAUUCCUGACAUCACCCCGAUGUCAGGCCCACUUACUAAAAAUCGAGACUUCCUGCCGAAAUUUCGGCAGAGUCUCCCCUAUAAUUUGGACAUUUCCCAAAAUUUCAACCUGCAUAAAAACGCAUUUAAUAUCCACAACUGGCAGCAUGCACAAUAUAAUUUCAUGCAAAUUCUCAUAAAUGGCCUUCGGCCUUCCAAUAAUUCUCAAACAACUACCAAACAAUUCAAAUACCAAAUAUGACUAAUAUUUAGUCUGCGGCUGCACCUAAUAACCUUAGGCUGCCUACGUACCCCCCUCAAGUGAUCAAGCCACACGUAGUUCUUCCCUAAAAACCCAAUUCCACACUUGGGCGAUGCCUUAUUUCAUUUCUCUGUACUUCACAUAUUCUCCCCAUACGCCGGUACAACCAACGCCACGUAUGGGGCCUGUCAACACGCCGGAUAACCUACGCCACGUGCGACCAUGCCAUACUAUCAUAAUAUCUCCCCAUACGCCGGUACAACUAACGCCACGUAUGGGGUCUGUCCCAACGCCGGAUAACCUACGCCACGCGGGACCUCAAUUUCAUAUCACAAAUCUCCCCAUACGCCGGUACAACCAACGCCACGUAUGGGGUCUGUCGACACGCCGGAUAACCUACGCCACGUGCGACCUCAACAUAAUACCACAUAAUCUCCCCAUACGCCGGUACAACCAACGCCACGUAUGGGGCCUGUCUCAACGCCGGAUAACCUACGCCACGUGCGACCAUGCCAUACUAUCAUAAUAUCUCCCCAUACGCCAGUACAACCAACGCCACGUAUGGGG